CGGGGGAACGCGAAGAACCUUACCAAGGCUUGACAUAUACGAGAACGGGCCAGAAAUGGUCAACUCUUUGGACACUCGUAAACAGGUGGUGCAUGGUUGUCGUCAGCUCGUGUCGUGAGAUGUUGGGUUAAGUCCCGCAACGAGCGCAACCCUCGUUCUAUGUUGCCAGCACGUAAUGGUGGGAACUCAUGGGAUACUGCCGGGGUCAACUCGGAGGAAGGUGGGGAUGACGUCAAAUCAUCAUGCCCCUUAUGUCUUGGGCUUCACGCAUGCUACAAUGGCCGGUACAAUGGGCAGCGAUACCGUGAGGUGGAGCGAAUCCCAAAAAGCCGGUCCCAGUUCGGAUUGAGGUU
rnacentral:rRNA from 1 species